rnacentral:rRNA from 1 species
AUACACUUAGUGGCGGACGGGUGAGUAACGCGUGGGUACCUGCCUCACACUGGGGGAUAACAGUUAGAAAUAGCUGCUAAUACCGCAUAAGUCCGCAUGGAAAAAACUCCGGUGGUGUGAGAUGGACCCGCGUCUGAUUAGCCAGUUGGCGGGGUAACGGCCCACCAAAGCGACGAUCAGUAGCCGGCCUGAGAGGGUGAACGGCCACAUUGGGACUGAGACACGGCCCAAACUCCUACGGGAGGCAGCAGUGGGGAAUAUUGCACAAUGGGGGAAACCCUGAUGCAGCGACGCCGCGUGAGUGAAGAAGUAUUUCGGUAUGUAAAGCUCUAUCAGCAGGGAAGAAGUGACGGUACCUGAAUAAGAAGCCCCGGCUAACUACGUGCCAGCAGCCGCGGUAAUACGUAGGGGGCAAGCGUUAUCCGGAUUUACUGGGUGUAAAGGGAGCGUAGACGGCACGGCAAGUCUGAAGUGAAAGCCCGGUGCUUAACGCCGGGACUGCUUUGGAAACUGUUUAGCUGGAGUGCCGGAGAGGUAAGCGGAAUUCCUAGUGUAGCGGUGAAAUGCGUAGAUAUUAGGAAGAACACCAGUGGCGAAGGCGGCUUACUGGACGGUAACUGACGUUGAGGCUCGAAAGC